UAAUGCUUGGGAAUCUAGCUUAUGGAGGGGGAUAACUACGGGAAACUGCAGCUAAUACCGCGUAGAAUCGAGAGAUGAAAGUGUGGGACCUUCGGGCCACAUGCCAUAGGAUGAGCCCAAGUGGGAUUAGGUAGUUGGUGAGGUAAAGGCUCACCAAGCCGACGAUCUCUAGCUGGUCUGAGAGGAUGACCAGCCACACUGGGACUGAGACACGGCCCAG
rnacentral:rRNA from 1 species